UAGGGAAUCUUCCACAAUGGACGAAAGUCUGAUGGAGCAACGCCGCGUGAGUGAAGAAGGUUUUCGGAUCGUAAAACUCUGUUGUCAGAGAAGAACGUGUGCGAGAGUAACUGUUCGUGCAGUGACGGUAUCUGGCCAGAAAGCCACGGCUAACUACGUG
rnacentral:rRNA from 1 species